CAUUACACACAUGGAGCCAUAAACAAUAUUCCAAACAUUACUGCCAUCUAUUGCUGCAUUUUGCUUCCUAAUAAAACUCAGAGUUACUGACUGCCUGUUAUUAGGGCUGGACGUAUAGGAGACAUGAAGCAUACGCUUCUUUGAUCGCUUUAGCAGACAAAUGCAUUUUAUUGUUGGAAUACCGGGCUUCCCAAUUUCCAUACAACGCAUGUUGAUUGUUGACCUGAUCGGAGUGAUUUGUCCAGAAUUUGUUGGAGUUAGUCCUCUGGGAAUAUUUUAGCACAGGGCACUGGGAAAGUAAGUUGCUAUGGUCAGAUUAUUGGGGCAAUCGGUUACUUAGGUCAGGGUAGGAGUAAGUCAUUAAGGCCUGGGUAUUGGAGCAGUAUGUGAAUAUAGGAAACUGGGACCAUAUCCAACACUCUGGAAAUACUUUAGGCCGAGGGAGUAAGUUAUUAAGAUUA